rfam:Ciona savignyi cont_35801, whole genome shotgun sequence.
GUCGUCGUGGCCGAGUGGUUAAGGCGACAGACUUGAAAUCUCUUGGGCUCUGCCCGCACAGGUUCGAAUCCUGUCGGCGACG